rnacentral:rRNA from 1 species
AGGAAAAGAAACCAACAGGGAUUGCCUCAGUAACGGCGAGUGAAGCGGCAAAAGCUCAAAUUUGAAAUCCCCCCGGGGAGUUGUAAUUUGAAGAUUGCGUCUUGGAGGCGACCGUGUCUAUGUUCCUUGGAACAGGACGUCACAGAGGGUGAGAAUCCCGUGCGGCACGGCCCCCGGCUCCUUAUAAGGCGCUCUCGACGAGUCGAGUUGUUUGGGAAUGCAGCUCAAAGUGGGUGGUAAAUUCCAUCUAAAGCUAAAUACAGGCGAGAGACCGAUAGCGAACAAGUACAGUGAUGGAAAGAUGAAAAGCACUUUGAAAAGAGAGUGAAACAGCACGUGAAAUUGUUGAAAGGGAAGGGCAUGCCGUCAGAUUGUCAGUGUGGGUAAGAAGCGGGGUACAAAGACUGUGGAACGUGGCCCUCGGGUGUUAUAGCCGCAGUUCAUGCCCCGUCUCUUUCCGAGGCCUGCUUUGAGGACACCGACGUAAUGACGGUACGCCGCCCG